ACAGGAUGGCGACAACAGGAGUCCAGGGAUCUUUAGUGCUGAAGACAGAGGCAUCAUGUUAGUUCAGCUCUGGGAGAGAUGACUGCUGGGCGAAUUUUUUUCUUUGGCAUCUAAUUUGUUGAGCUGGCUGACAUUUAUACCUGUAUUGUGAAGCCCAGGAUAUGGAGACUGCAGGUGAAGUUGCCAUUGUGGGAAUAGGAUGCAACUUUCCUGGAGGCAUAUGGUUACAGCCAUAAUGUGAAGAACUAUGCAGCUGCAAACUCUUUCUUGGACAGCUUCUGCCACUACAGGAGGAACUGUGGGCUCACAGGCCAAUCCAUUUGGCCAAUCCUGCCACUGAGUCCAGUCUGGG